AAAAAAUUGGAGUCAAGUUGAAGUCAGAGAGCAAUUGAAGAAAAGUGAAAGUGAACUGUUGCUUUAUAUUUGUCAUUUUUGAGGAGAUUGGGUUGUGGGAAAUCAGUGGUUUCUUGAUCUGUUGUUAGUUUAUUGUUAUUGAUGAUUCAGGAGCUGAUUUGAUCUGAUUGGAGUUGUUUAAUUAAUGGCUGCUUCCAUUAGCUUACCUGUUGGUUCUCUUGUUUGGGUGGAGGAUCCUGAUGUAGCCUGGAUAGAUGGGGAAGUUUUGGAGGUUAAUGGUUCAGACGUGAAGGUUCUUUGCACUUCUGGUAAAACGGUUGUUGUUAAGUCUUCUAAUGUCUAUGCCAAAGAUGCUGAAGCUCCGCCAUCUGGUGUGGAUGAUAUGACGAAGCUGGCUUAUUUGCAUGAACCAGG
rnacentral:misc_RNA from 1 species